GCCGCCCCUAGAGGCACUACAGAUAUGGCUGCUGUGUCACAUGUGCGUCAGCAGGUGGCAGAGAGGAGAAAGGCUAUGUCUACACUUGGUGUUCUGACCUAUGGACAUCUGAGUAAUUAGUAGCCUAACAUU